CCUGUAGGGCAGGCUACAGAAAAAAUUAAAGGAAGAUGAUAAAACUCUUAAUGUUAUUAUAGACGCAGCCUGAAUAAUACAGUACCAUAUACAAUGGUUUGUACAUUGUACCAUGAGAGAAAAAUGCAAGCUAGACCAUAGAUCAAAGUCAAUAAUUUUUUUGUUUUGACUUAAUUUUUUAAAUAUGGCUUUCGAUCAGAAUGAAGGAGAAUUAGUAAAAACUUACGAAUGCAUUCACCAUUGUGAUGGUGAAAAGUCGUUCAGCACUCGUUUCUGGAAAAAUGUGUUGUAAUUAGAUUCUAUCUUCCAAUAAAUCGAAGAAGAAUAUCUAUAUUUUAAUAUUUUGAAUAUAGAUGUAUGUGUACCUUUACCAAGAAUCAAAUUUUAUACUCUUCUAAAUUCAGUAAAUAUUGAGAAAAAAUUAACACAUGAAUAAAAUUCAAAAUGUACUGAUAUGGAUUUAUCCUCCCACUGGAUUCAUUUCACUCACAAGAUACUAUUCCAAGUCAUAUCAUUAUUUAUACAUGUAGGUUAAUGACUGGAUAUAGGGAAAUAUACUUUCAGAAGUUCUUGCGCCGAAAAGUGGACUCUGUUUGUGAGGUGUUUUUGUUAUUGUAAAUUCUGCAAAACGAUAAAGGGCUGGCAUAUUUCCAGAUAUGCAGUAAAAACCUAUCGUUGGGUCAAAUGCUGUCUGACGUAUUUCAUACUGAUUGUUAGGCCGUUCUUGGCACACUGAUUUUGACUACAGAUAACUCCGUUUACCUGAUCAGAAUAUAGGGCUUGCGGCGGGUGUGACCGGUCGACAGGAUGCUUACUCCUCCUAGGCACCCGAUCCCACCUCUGGUGUGUCCAGGGGUCCAUGUUUGCCCAACUAAAUUUUGUAUUGCUUAUUGGAGUUAUGAGAUUGAUCACUGUUCGUUAUCGUCACCUUUCAUCACAUUUGCUCUACAUCUAUGUACUUCUAACUCUAUAAAUGCUCAAUUUUUAAAGAAAAGAUUAUCAUUAGCAAACGAAGUUCUUUACGUCCAUGAAUAUUUGUAAACAUAUCAGGCCUCAAGUCCAUACACUGAAAAUAGACUUUUAAAAAUUAAAACACUGGAAAUGUUAUUUCCUUAUGAAAAAUAUUUGAAAAGUUAAUUGGAUUUGAAAUUUAGACUUAAGUCUAUUUCCAGGUUAUGGUCUUGAAACCUGGUAUCACAAUAAUCGUGUUAAGUGGGCAGAUACGAUGUCACAAUUAAGUUAAUUGGUCUCCGAGCGUCUGCAUUACCGACAAUUAUAGCUCAAUAAAAGCCCAGUUACUCUAAAUAAAAUAUACAGGAAAAAGUAUCAAAAUAUGUAAUAAGAGUACAUAUAAAAAUAUUAAUAUCGUGUCCAUGUUAUCAGUUCGAUAUGUUUUCUACGUACAUACCCUUCUUCUACAUACCGAUUGAUAACACAGCCUUUAGUUAUUGUUUCUGCAUUGCGUGAUAAAACCAAAUAGGCUAAUAAUCCUAUGUUUCGACCUCUUCGUGAAUUAGAAAUUAUCAUUUGAAAUAUUGAAUCCAUUCCAUCUAUACUUUUUAAAGAUACUAUGGAAACUCUAUGGCUAAUUUCCUUUCAAACAUGUAUUUUUCAAUAAUAGUCAAGAGUGUUAUAUCCCGGAAGAUUCAUUGAUUGGGAGGCAGGUUUUAAUAAACAGGAAACAAAUUCUGCAAUAGAUUCAGUCAAACUUUUAAGUUUAUGAAAAUUCAACUUUUCUUAAUAAGGAACAGCUAUAUACAUGUAUAUAAUUGACGAUGUUUUCAAUAAUAUUGAUAUGUAUAUUCGUAGCUCAUAAGCCAGAUAAACUUUUCUUUAUUACACAGGUUUAUAAAAUUCUUGCACAAAAUGUUCAUGGACUCUAUGAAUGGUUCUCUUAGGUGUUGGUAUGCUAUACAGCCAAAUACAAAAUGGAAUUUAUCUUCUACACAGUCUGACUUGCAGACAGUACAUUUUCUCUCAUUUACAUGUGUUUGUGUGUAAAGUCCAGUUCCAAUAACCAAAGAAUGAGAACUGAUUCUGAAAUUUGUGAAACAUUGCAAAACAUGAGGAUUAUGAAUUACUGAAAACUAUUUUUCUCUACAGAAUCUUGAUUUGAAUAAUGCAUAUGUUCGCAGUUUAUCAAAUUGUUUGUCUGCAUUGUCUGAGAGUGUAUUACACCACUGAUACUUAAAUCUUUCAUAUAACCUAUUCGUAACAAUUGAAACAGAAUGUUAUGCAUUGUAUAUCCAACUUAUUCAAAAUAUAAUAAAUGCUACUGAUCCAACUGCUUUUGUUAUUAUCAAAUAAUACAUUGUUUUCUUGUACAACAUUUUAAAUAAGGAAUUCACUUGGGAAUUCUUUGUAAAUAUCUCAAACAGGUGUGAAAAUGGCCACACCUGGCCCGAAUAUUUCAAAAUGCAUUGAUUUCUAUGAAAUAGUAAUUUUCAUAUUGUUAUACGUUCUCCAAGACGAUUCCUAUUUUUGGAUAUGACAUCACAAAUUUGGUAAAGAAAGAAAUCAUUCUUUGCUAUAGGCAUGUAUUAUUAUUAAUUUCAUAUAUAUCCAGCACUUCAUGUAGAAUUAUGCACAGGUAUCAUAGAUCUCCAAAUACCUACUGCUUAUGAUAAUGGCGAUUUUGAACAGGGUAAGAGCUGUACGUAGUUGCUACUUUGUUCACAGUAAAUUCACGAUCCAUUAUUAAGUAAUGAUUUGUGUCGUAUGUUUCACCUACUUACCAAUAUAGUUUAGAAUUACAGUCAGAAUCAACACCAAAUCAUAUUUCUAAGAGACAUAGUUCUUGGCAGCCUUCAAUCGUAAACGAAAAUUAUUCGACCAUCAUUCCUAACACUGACACUAGAUUCUACAGACUCUGAGAAUGUAACAGGAGUGGUAGACAACGCACUAACAUGACAUGGGCAGGGAAUCAGAAGAGGCAGCAGGUGUGUGAGAUACAAAGGUGUCAGUUGGAAUUGACGAAACGUGAAGAUAACAAACAGUGAUAAAUCUCAGAACUCCUAUAAGCAAUACAGAAUAGAUAGUUGGACAAACACGGACCCCUGGAUAUACCAAAGGUGCCUUGGAGGAGCAAUCAUCCCCUGUCGACCGACCAUUUCCGCUGUGAACCAUAUCUUGAUCAGGUACCCAUCGAGCCGUCCCCCUUGAUCAUCGAGUAAUACACAGCCACACGACACUAUCAGAACCCCUCUUGUUUUUCAACAAAUGUAUGAAGGUGUAAGGAAUUCCGCAAAUAAAUUCACGUGAAAAUACACAAGAUGUACUGAUCACGUGGUUGCUCUCCGUCGCUACCUUAAAGGGAAAAUUCCGGAAGCAUUGAACCUACUUUGGAUACUCUGUUUUGCGGCAGACUUCUCCCACGCUGUUUUACUUAAACCAGGGGCAACCACUUAUUUACAUUGUUGAUGGGAUUUUCAGACUCUCUGAACAAGCCAUAUUGUACGGGUACCAAAAUGGAAUUGUCAAGUGGCUGAACGAUAUGAGUGGUAUUGGGAGGGAAGACACGAUGUGGAUGCUAUUUUCAAAAGAACAGCCGAGAAUUACUGAUUCCUGUUUCAUCGCAUUUUCGAAGUUGGUAAUCAUGCUAAAUACUUUGUUCUACUUUCAGAUACCGGAAGUAGUUGAAAAAGUUUAAAAAGCACCAAGUUUGUUUAAUAACCAUUUUAAAACCGUUUAUUACUUCGUGAAUGCAAGAAAAAUUCUAAAAGUGUGAUCAUCUUUUAAUACUACAAUUUCCUCCAAUGUAGUAAGGAAACUGCAUCGUUGUACAAAGUUGCUAUACCAAUUGCCUGUAGAUAGUUAAAUGUGAACAUAUAUAUACACCCAAUAAACAAUUUGCAAGACACAUUUCA